AAUGUUCUCUCUUUAAAAAAAAGUAUUUUCUAGAUUUCAACAUAUUAAUAUCACAAUCUUUUUACACAAACUUAUUGCAGUUUUGGUUGCUGUUGUUUGUUGUUUUCUAUUAUGAUGUGGUUUGCAGGGCUUGGAAGGUAGAAGCGCAGAUGAGGAUCCCUCAUCAGCUAGAGUUUCACAUAGUUUUUCUUCUUCUGCCUGCAUGCAUGCCUAAUUGUGGAGAUCCAAGAUGGUAUAUACCUCUUUCCACCUAGAUCUGACAAGUGGAUCUUGGUAUUUUGCCGGGCUUGACUUUGAUAGACAGAGAAGUCAUUCGAGCACGCCAACCCCUACUUGUUCGGUCAUUUAGCCAUCUCUGGUUCUGGAUCUCUUUCCUUCAGCUUGGCUUUGGAUAGGAGGAAAGUGGAAAGGAAGAAA
rnacentral:lncRNA from 1 species